UACGGGGGGGGCAAGCGUUGUUCGGAAUUACUGGGCGUAAAGGGCUCGUAGGCGGCCAACUAAGUCAGACGUGAAAUCCCUCGGCUUAACCGGGGAACUGCGUCUGAUACUGGAUGGCUUGAGGUUGGGAGAGGGAUGCGGAAUUCCAGGUGUAGCGGUGAAAUGCGUAGAUAUCUGGAGGAACACCGGUGGCGAAGGCGACAUCCUGGACCGGUAUUGACGCUGAGGCGCGAAAGCCAGGGGAGCAAACGGG
rnacentral:rRNA from 1 species